GGCCUCGUGGCGUAAAGGUAGCGCGCGGCCCUCCUAAGGCUGAGGCUGCAGGUUCGAGUCCUGCCGGGGUCG